AUAAAAAUUCUUAGAUACUAAAAGAAUAAACACAAAAUUCUAGAAGUGUAAUUAUUCCCAUCGUCUUAAUGCCCAAUUAGAAAAAUUCUGACGCCUGUCUUUCCAUCAUUCUGUCAUUUCAAUUUUAAUGGCGCUACCGUUUUCAAAGGAAGCUUUAUUCCUUAUGACUUUUGAUUUGUUCAUUUUGAAACUUCCUUACUUUCUCUCCAUCUCCUUUCUUCUUCAAUCCGAUUCUCUCAUGCUGUCAUUUUCCAUUUGGUUUUUGGCAUAUCUGGGGACACUCUCGACCGGGUUGCUUUACGGCAAGCAAGGGCUUCAGCAGCGAAGGCGGAGGACACUCUUUAAUGAAUCUCCGAGCAUGAUAGGAGGAUGAGCCCUUCACUGUCUCUGACAACUAUUCCAGAUGCCGACUGAUGAUUCCUCUCGUCGUAGGCUCCAUUGAAAUUAAUUUUUACUGUUUGGCCAGUGGGCGUUUCCAUUUUAUUUCCUCCUUUAAACCUUUGGAUGUUCUUUUUUCAACACCAUUUAACUCUGUUAUGUAGUUGUGGACAAAUUUUGCUAUCUCCUGACCAGAUUUGUUUGUCUUUUUAUGAAUACGAGCAUUUCUGUCUCCCUAGAUGGCCCAUAGCGCACAGCAAAAUAUUCUGCAGUGACUGGAAGGAUGUUGAACGAAAACCCUGGACAUUCGUGGAAGAGGUAAAUUCGAGGUUGAUAAGCUCUCCAAACUGACACUGAUACAGGACAUUCGUGGAAGAGGUGGUCUAUUGUUUCUUCUCUUUCACCACAACGGGGGCAUGCGGAACUGUUUACUAGUUUUCUGUAUACCAUGUUAGCCCGUGUAGGCAAAUAGUUCCAUGAGAUCUUCCGAAUUGUAACUUUAAUUUUGGUAGGUAGAUCUAGGAGCCAAAGUUUUUUGUAAAAAUCCUUGAAGUCGGUUUGUAAAGCAUAAGCUCUAGGACUAGAAAUUUGUAAUAGUUUGUAGGCACUUCAAACCGAGUAUUCUCCCGAAGGUUCCCCGCUCCACGUCAGAAUAUCAGCAUGAGGUUCUUUCACCAACAGGAUGCUAAGGAUCUUUCCAGCUUCUACUUCUGUUAAGGAUCUAGCACAAGACAAUCAUUAAUGCUAUGCCCCAUUCUUCCACAUCUAAAACAAAAAAUCGGUAACUUCUCAUAUUUAAAAGAAAUCCAUGAUUUAAAACUAUUGUUGCUUGAAACAAAAAUACCUCUUCGAAGAGGUUUCUGCACAUCCAGGUUUAUUCUUAACCGACAUAAAUCACCAAUAAUUUCAGAUCUAAUUACUCUUCCAAAAGUAACACCAAUAGCAUGCAAAAGAUCUUUUUUGUCGAAUUCUGGUAGACACGAGCCUAUUCUGAUCCAGAACGAAGAAGAGAAGAGCCUAAUCUGAUUUCACUCUAUCUGUUUACUUCGCCGAUCAAAUAAAACUAGG